rnacentral:rRNA from 1 species
AUUGAACGCUGGCGGCAUGCCUUACACAUGCAAGUCGAACGGCAGCACGGGUGCUUGCACCUGGUGGCGAGUGGCGAACGGGUGAGUAAUACAUCGGAACGUACCUUAUCGUGGGGGAUAACGCAGCGAAAGCUGUGCUAAUACCGCAUACGCCCUGAGGGGGAAAGCGGGGGAUCGCAAGACCUCGCGCGAUUAGAGCGGCCGAUGCCUGAUUAGCUAGUUGGGGGGGUAAAAGCCCACCAAGGCGACGAUCAGUAGCUGGUCUGAGAGGACGGUCAGCCACACUGGGACGGAGACACGGCCCAGACUCCUACGGGAGGCAGCAGUGGGGAAUUUUGGACAAUGGGGGCAACCCUGAGCCAGCAAUGCCGCGUGAGUGAAGAAGGCCUUCGGGUUGUAAAGCUCUUUUGUCAGGGAAGAAACACCGGCUCUAACACAGUCCGGGAAUGACGGUACCUGAAGAAUAAGCACCGGCUAACUACGUGCCAGCCGCCGCAGUAA